AUCUUUUCUUGGCCUUUUGGCUAAGAUCAAGUGUAGUAUCUGUUCUUAUCAGUUUAAAAUGGGGUCAUUAGAUUUCAGUUCAAACCAUAAAAGUUUAGUUACAUUUUGAUACAGCAACU
rnacentral:snRNA from 1 species